rnacentral:rRNA from 1 species
UCCCAGCGCCACGAGUGGCAUUCACAAUUACUGGGUCUAAAGCGUUCGUAGCUGGAUGAAUGGCUCUUUUGUGAAAACGGGCAACUUAAUUGUUCGGGUUGCAGAAGACACCCAUUGUCUAGGAACCGGUAGGCGUCAGAAGUAUGUCUUAGGGAGCGGUAAAAUGUGAUAAUCUAAGAUAGACUACCUGUGGCGGAGGCGUCUGACGAGGACGGAUUCGACGGUGAGGAACGAAGGCUAGGGGAGCGAACCG